UCUCCAUAAAUCUUUUCUCCCACUCUUUGAAUUUCAAAAUAUACAAAUUCUCCCUUUCAUGGUGAAGAACUCUCCUAUUUGCUCAUUUCCUGGACCGCAUCUUUUAUUCAAAUGGGAACAGGGCAUUGUGAAAGGAAUCUCUCAACUUCUUACAACAUUGCGAUUGCUACUUUACUGAAAACUCAGCCUGUGUCAACUGAAAUGCAGAAUCCAAUGAUUAUCCAAUCCAGAUCCCAUCCUAAGAAUUCAGGUGUAUUCUUUGUUAAUGGGGUACCCCAGUUCAAUAAGUCGGAGUGAAGAUGAAAUUCUCAUUGAUUGCAGCUAACCAAACAGAGGGACAAAAUCAUUGAAGAAUGAAACUGGUUCCUGCCAACCUGGUGCUCUCUCGAACAAGGGUUUUCAAGUCAUUCAUCCCGUCCUUGUUGCAUCCAAGAAAACCAUCCGGUAAGUAUUAUCAUCGAUAACAUCAGCAACCUUUUUAGUAACAUCAGCCGGCUGAGGUUGCGGAGAGGAAGAUUUCCCAGCAUGUGGAGGCUACCAAUAAUUGGAAACUCCUGGGGACUGGGGUGGUAGUUUCCGGUGGCUUGCUCAUAGUUGUUGGCUCCAAGAAUGACUCGGAGAAAAGUAAUGGUGAAAAGAUGGGAAGGGAAGGGUUUGUGGGAUGUUCGUUCAAGAAUCAA